rnacentral:rRNA from 1 species
AAUCAAGCGCGAAAAGGGCGUUUGGUGAAUGCCUUGGCAGUAAGAGGCGAUGAAAGACGUGAUACUCUGCGAUAAGUCAUGGGGAGCUGAGAAUAAGCUUUGAUCCAUGAAUUUCUGAAUGGGGCAACCCACCUGAUACUUUGUUAUUACUGCACUUCGGUGCAGCUAAUAAUGAGGUAAACCAGGUAUUUCUAGACUGAAUACAUAGGUUUAGAAAAGCAAACCCGGGGAACUGAAACAUCUAAGUACCCGGAGGAAAGGAAAUCAAUUGAUACUCCCCUAGUAGCGGCGAGCGAACGGGGACCAGCCGAGCCUUGAAUGUGAAUAGAAUGGUCUGGAAAGGCCAACCAUAGUGGGUGACAGUCCCGUAUAUGAAGCACGAUAGGACGUAUUAAGUAGGGCGGAACACGUGAAAUUCUGUCUGAAGAUCGGAGGACCACCUUCGAAGGCUAAGUACUCCUUACUGACCGAUAGUGAACCAGUACCGUGAGGGAAAGGUGAAAAGCACCCCGACGAGGGGAGUGAAACAGUACCUGAAACCGAACGCCUACAAUCAGUUGGAGGGCCCUUGAGGCCUGACAGCGUACCUUUUGUAUAAUGGGUCAUCGACUUGGUCUCACGAGCAAGCUUAAGCCGUUAGGUGUAGGCGCAGCGAAAGCGAGUCUUAAUAGGGCGUCGAGUUCGUGGGAUCAGACCCGAAACCGAGUGAUCUAGGCAUGACCAGGAUGAAGGUAAGGUAACACUUACUGGAGGUCCGAACCCACACCUGUUGAAAAAGGUCGGGAUGAGUUGUGCCUAGGGGUGAAAGGCCAAUCAAACUCGGAGAUAGCUGGUUCUCUGCGAAAUCUAUUUAGGUAGAGCGUCAUCCGAAUACCCUCGGGGGUAGAGCACUGGAUGGGUAAUGGGGCCCCACAGGCUUACUGAUCCUAACCAAACUCCGAAUACCGAGGAGUACUAGAUGGCAGACACACGGCGAAUGCUAACGUCCGUCGUGAAGAGGGAAACAACCCUGACCUACAGCUAAGGCCCCUAAUUCAUGGCUAAGUGGGAAAGCAGGUGGGACGACCAAAACAACCAGGAAGUUGGCUUAGAAGCAGCCAUCUUUUAAAGAUAGCGUAACAGCUCACUGGUCUAAUCAAGUUGUCCUGCGGCGAAGAUGUAACGGGGCUCAAGCCAUGAGCCGAAGCUUAGGAUGCACUUAGUGCAUGGUAGCAGAGCGUAGUGUGACAUAACUCCAUGUCUCCUUAAGCCCUUCGGGGCGAUUGGAGACGCGGAGUUUUCUGUGAAGCCGGCGCGUGAGCGAUCCGGUGGAGAGAUCACUAGUGAGAAUGAUGACAUGAGUAGCGACAAAGGGAGUGAGAGACUCCCUCGCCGAAAGUCCAAGGGUUCCUGCUUAAAGCUAAUCUGAGCAGGGUAAGCCGACCCCUAAGGCGAGGCCGAAAGGCGUAGUCGAUGGGAACCAGGUUAAUAUUCCUGGGCCAGAUGGAAGUGACGGAUCUCGAAGGUAGUUCAUCCUUAUCGGAUUGAAUGGGCUGCUGAGAGGUUCCUGGAAAUAGCUCCAUCGCUAGAUCGUACCCUAAACCGACACAGGUGGACUGGUAGAGAAUACCAAGGCGCUUGAGAGAACUAUGUUGAAGGAACUCGGCAAAAUACCUCCGUAAGUUCGCGAGAAGGAGGCCCGGUUCCUAGGCAACUAGGGGCUGGGGGCACAAACCAGGGGGUGGCGACUGUUUAUUAAAAACACAGGGCUCUGCGAAGUCGUAAGACGACGUAUAGGGUCUGACGCCUGCCCGGUGCCUGAAGGUUAAAAGGAGGGGUGAGAGCUCUGAAUUGAAGCCCAGGUAAACGGCGGCCGUAACUAUAACGGUCCUAAGGUAGCGAAAUUCCUUGUCGGGUAAGUUCCGACCUGCACGAAUG